GAACGCUGGCGGCGUGCCUAAUACCUGCAAGUCGAGCGAACGGACGAGAAGCUUGCUUCUCUGAUGUUAGCGGCGGACGGGUGAGUAACACGUGGAUAACCUACCUAUAAGACUGGGAUAACUUCGGGAAACCGGAGCUAAUACCGGAUAAUAUUUUGAACCGCAUGGUUCAAAAGUGAAGGACGGUCUUGCUGUCACUUAUAGAUGGAUCCGCGCUGCAUUAGCUAGUUGGUAAGGUAACGGCUUACCAAGGCAACGAUGCAUAGCCGACCUGAGAGGGUGAUCGGCCACACUGGAACUGAGACACGGUCCAGACUCCUACGGGAGGCAGCAGUAGGGAAUCUUCCGCAAUGGGCGAAAGCCUGACGGAGCAACGCCGCGUGAGUGAUGAAGGUCUUCGGAUCGCAAAACUCUGUUAUUAGGGAAGAACAUAUGUGUAAGUAACUGUGCACAUCUUGACGGUACCUAAUCAGAAAGCCACGGCUAACUACGUG
rnacentral:rRNA from 1 species